CACGUAGGGUGCAAGCGUUGUCCGGAAUCAUUGGGCGUAAAGAGCUCGUAGGCGGCUUAGUAAGUCGGGUGCGAAAACCCCAGCUCAACCUGGGGACGCCACCCGAUACUGCUAUAGCUAGAGUCCAGUAGGGGAGUGUGGAAUUCCCAGUGUAGCGGUGAAAUGCGCAGAUAUUGGGAGGAACACCAGCGGCGAAGGCGGCACUCUGGGCUGGUACUGACGCUGAGGAGCGAAAGCGUGGGUAGCGAACAGG
rnacentral:rRNA from 1 species